rnacentral:rRNA from 1 species
UAGGGAAUAUUGGUUAAUGUGCGAAAGCGCGAACCAGCAACGCCGCGUGUGCGAUGAAGGCCUUCGGGUCGUAAAGUACUUUUUGCAGGGAAGAGGAAGGACGGUACCUGCAGAAUAAGUCUCGGCUAACUACGUGCCAGCAGCCGCGGUAAAACGUAGGAGACGAGCGUUAUCCGGAUUUACUGGGCGUAAAGCGCGUGCAGGCGGCAUGGCAAGUUGGAUGUGAAGGCUCCCGGCUUAACUGGGAGAGGUCGUUCAAUACUGCCAGGCUUGAGAGUGGUAGAGGGAAGCGGAAUUCCGGGUGUAGAGGUGAAAUGCGUAGAUAUCCGGAGGAACACCAGUGGCGAAAGCGGCUUCCUGGCCCAUUUCUGACGCUCAGACGCGAAAGCUAGGGUAGCAAACGG